UACGUAGGGUGCAAGCGUUGUCCGGAAUUAUUGGGCGUAAAGAGCGCGCAGGCGGUCGAUUUAGUCGCGUGUGAAAGCCCCCGGCUCAACUGGGGAGGGUCACGCGAUACUGAUCGACUCGAAGGCAGGAGAGGGUAGUGGAAUUCCCGGUGUAGUGGUGAAAUGCGUAGAUAUCCGGAGGAACACCGGUGGCGAAGGCGGCUUCCUGGACCGACACUGACGCUGAGGCGCGAAAGCUAGGGGAGCAAACGGG
rnacentral:rRNA from 1 species